UAACUAACAAGGAUUUCCCUAGUAGUGGCGAACGACCGGGCAAUUAGCCCAGCACCGAAUCCUGUACCUUUGGUAUUAGGAAUUGUGGUGUACAGGUUGUAUCUUUAAUUGAAGAGUCAGUUCCAAAUUCACUUGAUUGUGAUAUUGUCCAGAGAAGGUGUUAGACCUGUUGGGAUUGAUGAGGCUAUUAUUGAUAUUUCCUAUGAGUCGGAUUGUUUGAGAAUGCAGUCCAAAUUUGGUGGUAUACUCCAUCUAAGGCUAAAUACUUGUGUGAGUCCGAUAGCAAACAAGUACCGUGAGGGAAAGUUGAAAAGAACUUUGAAGAGAGAGUUAAAUAGUACGUGAAAUUGCUUAGAGGUAAACGAGUGGAGCCGAAGCUGUUUUAUGGGAUUCAGUUGAUUGUGUGUAGUCCGAUUGUCGUAUGAAAUCUCUCAAGGAUUCAUUGACAGUGGGCUUAUUAUACAAAGUCAAUGCACUUUCCAUUUAACAUGACUGCGAUCAAUAGUGUAGUUUUCCUGUCGUUGUGUUGAAGUUGAUCAAUGGUUUACGGUAUUGGUUUUAUAGCUCAUUUCACGGUUGAACUAUGUAUUGGUGAGUAACGAUUCGAGUCGCUAUGGUCCUCUUCAGUGACGACAGAUGUUGAUUGUUUAUGGGCUACCUAAAAAGUCAGGCGGUCUAUCACAAGUGAAUGGUCGAUGUAACCACGUUGUUAACCGAUUCGAUCCAAAAUCAGCAGUGUAUAUGUAGGUUACCUACUCGUCCCGUCUUGAAACACGGACCAAGGAGUUUUAUAUUAUCGCGAGUCAAAGGGCUAUACGAAACCCCAGGGCGUAAUUAAUGUAAAGGUUUGCGUUGGUAAACUGAGAUGUGACCUCAUAGUCUCCCGACUAUAGUGUGCAACAUCGACCCGUCUAAAGGUGUUCGCAUCUGGGCGGAGUUCGAGCGAUAAUGUAGAGACCCGAAAGAUGGUGAACUAUGCUUGUGCAGGUUGAAGUCAGAGGAAACUCUGAUGGAGGACCGCCGCGGUUCUGACGUGCAAAUCGAUCGUCGGACAUGAGUAUAGGGGCGAAAGACUAAUCGAACCAUCUAGUAGCUGGUUCCCUCCGAAGUUUCCCUCAGGAUAGCUGGCAUUUGAUGUUGUAGUUUUACCCGGUAAAGCGAAUGAUUAGAAGUAUUGGGGACGAAAUGUUUUCAACUUAUUCUCAAACUUUAAAUGGGUUCGAAGUGCAUCUCGUUUAAUUAGAGAGGCACAUUGAAUAUAAAUGCCUAGUGGGCCAUUUUUGGUAAGCAGAACUGGCGAUGUGGGAUGAACCAAACAUCUGGUUAAGGUGCCUAACAUCAUGCUCAUGAGAACCCACAAAAGGUGUUGGUUGAUAAAGACAGCAGGACGGUGGACAUGGAAGUCGUCAUCCGCUAAGGAGUGUGUAACAACUCACCUGCCGAAUCAACCAGCCCUGAAAAUGGAUGGCGCUGUAGCGUGAGACCUAUACCGGAUCGGUAUCGUAAGUUGUGUGUGGUAACACACACAAUGAGUAAACGGUACCGUGUAGGAGGGUGCCGUGGUUGCCUGAGGGCUGGCGUGAGUCAGAGUGGAGCGGCCACGGGUACAGAUCUUGGUAGUAGUAGCAA
rnacentral:rRNA from 1 species